UCGGGACUCCCAGGUCUUCCCACUCGCUGCUCAGGACUGAACACAGACGACGCACCAUGGAGUCUGGACUGAGCUGGCUUCUCCUCGUUGCUCUGUUACAAGGUGUCCAGUGUGAGGUGCAGCUGGUGGAGUCUGGGGGAGGCUUGGUCAAGCCUGGGGGGUCCAUGAGAUUCUCCUGUGCAGCCUCUGGAUUCACCUUCAGCAGCAGCUGGAUGCACUGGGUCUGCCAGGCCGCAGGGAAGGGACUGGAGUGGGUCUCAAGCAUCAGUGGUAAUGGGAGUAAUACAUACUACGUGGACUCCGUGAAGGGUCGAUUCACCAUCUCCAGAGAGAAUGGGGAGAACACUCUGCAUCUACAGAUGAGCAGACUGGGGCCUGAGGACACGGAAUUGUUUUAA